UACGAAGGGUGCAAACGUUGCUCGGAAUCAUUGGGCGUAAAGCGCACGUAGGCGGCCUGAUAAGUCAGAUGUGAAAUCCCUCGGCUCAACUGAGGACGUGCAUUCGAAACUGCCAGGCUCGAGUAUGGAAGAGGGUCGCGGAAUUCCCGGUGUAGAGGUGAAAUUCGUAGAUAUCGGGAGGAACACCAGUGGCGAAGGCGGCGACCUGGGCCAAUACUGACGCUGAGGUGCGAAAGCGUGGGGAGCAAACAGG
rnacentral:rRNA from 1 species